rnacentral:rRNA from 1 species
AUUGAACGCUGGCGGAAUGCUUUACACAUGCAAGUCGAACGGCAGCACGGGAGCUUGCUCCUGGUGGCGAGUGGCGAACGGGUGAGUAACAUAUCGGAACGUAUCCAAUAAUGGGGGAUAACUAAGCGAAAGCUUGGCUAAUACCGCAUACGCCCUGAGGGGGAAAGCUAGGGAUCUUCGGACCUGGCGUUAAUGGAGCGGCCGAUAUCCGAUUAGCUAGUUGGUGAGGUAAAGGCUCACCAAGGCGACGAUCAGUAGCUGGUCUGAGAGGACGACCAGCCACACUGGAACUGAGACACGGUCCAGACUCCUACGGGAGGCAGCAGUGGGGAAUUUUGGACAAUGGGCGCAAGCCUGAUCCAGCCAUUCCGCGUGAGUGAAGAAGGCCUUCGGGUUGUAAAGCUCUUUCGCAAGGGAAGAAAGAUUACGCUCUAACAUAGCGUGAUUAUGACGGUACCUUGAUAAGAAGCACCGGCUAACUACGUGCCAGCAGCCGCCGUAACAC